CCACUCCUUUCAAAUUUCAAUUCCAAGCUCAUUCGCUCUCCCCUCCGUCCUCUGAAUCACAAAAUAAAAAAUACCGAACAUACCCUUGCCACCACGAGGCUUAGGGAGAUAGAGGCCUCUUUUGAACGAUGGACCUGAAAGUUUACAAUUCCAUGACGCAACAGAAGGAGGCCUUCACGCCCAAAACCCCCCGGGAAAGUUGCCAUUAUGUCUGCGGCGUCACCGCGUAUGACCUCAGCCGCCUCGCCCACGCUCGUGCUGCCUUCUCCUUCGACAUACUCUACAGGUAGCAAAGCCUGGUGAACCAAGUUGGGACAGCUCUUGGUCUCCUGGAAGACCAGGGUGGCACAUAGAAUGCAGUGCAAGGAGUGCUCAUUGUCUGACCUUCAAGUUUGAUAUUCAUGGUGAUGGAAUUAAUAUGAUUUUUCCACAUCAUGAAAAUGAGAUUGCCCAGAGUUGUGCUGCAUGCUAAGAGAGUAGUGUGGGCCAUUGGAUGCAUAAUGGGCAUGUAACUAAUAACAAUGAGAAAAUGUUAAAAUCAUUGGGAAAUUUUUUCACAAGUCGCCAGGUGAAAUCAGUUUGAAUAAUGUCUGCAUAGUUAUCUCUUUUUAGGUGGCCACAGUUUAAUGCUACUAUAUCUGUUUGAAAAUAACCCAUCAGUUUCUUGCAGAUUACUGAGCAAUGUGAUCCACUGGCCUUCGACACUUUUUAAUAAGUGCAUAUUAUCGAUCUCCUCUCAAUGACACAGUCUUGCAGCUGGAAAGUUCAUCAGAUGCUGUUUUUUAAUAUAUAUCUGGCAUUGCUAGAUUGUGAAGUUGCUUUAUCAUCAGCUCGAGAAGGAAGCCUCAAGGAUGACAUAGAAAUGAAAGAUGGCAAAGUAGCCCCCGUCAUUUAAUCUGCUGAAGACUACAUCAAUAAGCUUUAUAGUGAAUUCUAGUGUAGAAUGUCGGAUGACUUGAAUACAUCAACUAUAUUUACUGGUGCCUUCCAAGAUGCCUUGAAAUUCAUAAAUAGUUCUUUGAACUUGUUUAAGUUACUCAUCUGAUACCUAUUUUGAUAUUGCCUGACUAUUUCAAUUUCUCAAUCAAUCAAUCAAAUCUACUUGGUUUCUGGAAUGAGAUGAAAGUGUUCUUUUGACCCCUUUUUUGGUUGAUAAUUUCCAGAAGCAGCAACCUAGAAAACAGCAGUUAUCCAUGUUGCAGUCCCUUGUUAAAGUAGAGUGGCAUUCUGGGAUUGUUGCCACCUGGAACUUACUCUGAGGUUUUAGAACAGUUUAAAGAGUAGGCAUUGAAGAGGGCCUGAUUGAGGAAAGAGCGGCUGCUCGGGAAAAUAGAGUUCUCUAAGAGUGAUCAGAUCAGGGCUAAUUUGACUGCAAAGGGCAUUGCACUCAUGGAUAUUGGUAAAGAAACAAUUUGGGGACCUUGUGUCCCAGUCAAACUGGAAAAAGAAGCACCUCCAGCUGUUAAAGAGCCAAAGGCCACCACUACAUUUGCAACUGGAGAAGAACAAAAGGCUUGAUGAUGAACCUUGUAUAGCUUUUAUACCCUGCCGUAGUUAAUCCUGAAUGGUGACUGGUACACUUUAAAUCACCAGCCAAUUAAGAAAAUACAUAUAAAUUUUGAUUCACAUGUCAAGUGAUGCUGCAACAUCUGAUGAUUUUUUCCGAUUUUGUGACACCAUGAAGCGACGAGUAAGCAUACUGGGCGUAUACUGGUUCUGGCAUCACUGAACAGAAAGUGAGCAGAAAACUUUAUUUGUGUAACCGUCCAAUGAAUUCUACUACACAGGGUUUUGAUUUGUAUAAUACAAAGAUUUUCCAUGA